rnacentral:rRNA from 1 species
AUGGUUUUGGAGGACGAGAGCAGCGAUGACAAGUCAAGCCUCACGUACAUGUACUCCGAAACCUCCACCGAUGGGCUCAACCAGGUGCCUUUCUCACUUGAGGACUCGGAUUACAAGGGCCUUGAGCUAGAUUUGAUGUCGUUCUGCGACAAGCAUGGGAAGCCAUCAGAGAGGCUUGUUGCAUUUGAAGGAACAAUGACUGGGAGAAGGUUCUUAGCAUGUACAGAGCCGGAAGGUCAGAAUUGUGGGUUUGUUCAGUGGGUUAAUGAGCAGUGGCCCCCAACAAUGGACAAUGCAUUGUUGAAGCUUUGGUCAAUGGUUGAAGAGAGCAAGUCUGCUAGGGUGAAUGAUAAUCUUGAAAGUGCUUUAACUAUAUUCACCAUUUGA